CCUACGGGAGGCAGCAGUGAGGAAUAUUGGUCAAUGGACGAGAGUCUGAACCAGCCAAGUAGCGUGAAGGAUGACUGCCCUAUGGGUUGUAAACUUCUUUUAUAUGGGAAUAAAACGUUCCACGUGUGGGAUUUUGUAUGUACCAUAUGAAUAAGGAUCGGCUAACUCCGUGCCAGCAGCCGCGGUAAUACGGAGGAUCCGAGCGUUAUCCGGAUUUAUUGGGUUUAAAGGGAGCGUAGGUGGAUUGUUAAGUCAGUUGUGAAAGUUUGCGGCUCAACCGUAAAAUUGCAGUUGAAACUAGCAGUCUUGAGUACAGUAGAGGUGGGCGGAAUUCGUGGUGUAGCGGUGAAAUGCUUAGAUAUCACGAAGAACUCCGAUUGCGAAGGCAGUUCACUGGACUGCAACUGACACUGAGGCUCGAAAGUGUGGGUAUCAAACAGGAUUAGAUACCCCAGUAGUC
rnacentral:rRNA from 1 species